rnacentral:rRNA from 1 species
GGAUUAGAUACCCUGGUAGUCCACGCCGUAAACGAUGUCUACUAGCCGUUGGGAAUCUAGUUAUUCUUAGUGGCGCAGCUAACGCACUAAGUAGACCGCCUGGGGAGUACGGCCGCAAGGUUAAAACUCAAAUGAAUUGACGGGGGCCCGCACAAGCGGUGGAGCAUGUGGUUUAAUUCGAUGCAACGCGAAGAACCUUACCAUCUCUUGACAUCCUGCGAACUUGGUAGAGAUACCUUGGUGCCUUCGGGAGCGCAGUGACAGGUGCUGCAUGGCUGUCGUCAGCUCGUGCCG